rnacentral:rRNA from 1 species
AGUGGGGAAUCUUGCGCAAUGGGCGAAAGCCUGACGCAGCGACGCCGCGUGAGGGAAGAAGGCCUUCGGGUUGUAAACCUCUUUCAGGAGGGACGAAGCCACUCGGGUGAAUAGCCCAGAGGGUGACGGUACCUCCAGAAGAAGCCCCGGCUAACUACGUGCCAGCAGCCGCGGUAAUACGUAGGGGGCAAGCGUUGUCCGGAUUUAUUGGGCGUAAAGCGCGUGUAGGCGGCCAGGCAGGUCCGUUGUGAAAACUGGAGGCUCAACCUCCAGACGUCGAUGGAAACCGCUUGGCUAGAGUCCGGAAGAGGAGAGUGGAAUUCCUGGUGUAGCGGUGAAAUGCGCAGAUAUCAGGAAGAACACCGAUGGCGAAGGCAGCUCUCUGGGACGGUACUGACGCUGAGACGCGAAAGCGUGGGGAGCGAA